GGAUGAACGCUAGCUACAGGCUUAACACAUGCAAGUCGAGGGGCAGCAUUUCAGUUUGCUUGCAAACUGGAGAUGGCGACCGGCGCACGGGUGAGUAACACGUAUCCAACCUGCCGAUAACUCGGGGAUAGCCUUUCGAAAGAAAGAUUAAUACCCGAUGGUAUAAUCAGACCGCAUGGUCUUGUUAUUAAAGAAUUUCGGUUAUCGAUGGGGAUGCGUUCCAUUAGGCAGUUGGUGAGGUAACGGCUCACCAAACCUUCGAUGGAUAGGGGUUCUGAGAGGAAGGUCCCCCACAUUGGAACUGAGACACGGUCCAAACUCCUACGGGAGGCAGCAGUGAGGAAUAUUGGUCAAUGGGCGCAGGCCUGAACCAGCCAAGUAGCGUGAAGGAUGACUGCCCUAUGGGUUGUAAACUUCUUUUAUAUGGGAAUAAAGUUUUCCACGUGUGGAAUUUUGUAUGUACCAUAUGAAUAAGGAUCGGCUAACUCCGUGCCAGCAGCCGCGGUAAUACGGAGGAUCCGAGCGUUAUCCGGAUUUAUUGGGUUUAAAGGGAGCGUAGGUGGACAGUUAAGUCAGUUGUGAAAGUUUGCGGCUCAACCGUAAAAUUGCAGUUGAUACUGGCUGUCUUGAGUACAGUAGAGGUGGGCGGAAUUCGUGGUGUAGCGGUGAAAUGCUUAGAUAUCACGAAGAACUCCGAUUGCGAAGGCAGCUCACUGGACUGCAACUGACACUGAUGCUCGAAAGUGUGGGUAUCAAACAGGAUUAGAUACCCUGGUAGUCCACACAGUAAACGAUGAAUACUCGCUGUUUGCGAUAUACAGUAAGCGGCCAAGCGAAAGCAUUAAGUAUUCCACCUGGGGAGUACGCCGGCAACGGUGAAACUCAAAGGAAUUGACGGGGGCCCGCACAAGCGGAGGAACAUGUGGUUUAAUUCGAUGAUACGCGAGGAACCUUACCCGGGCUUAAAUUGCAUUUGAAUAUAUUGGAAACAGUAUAGCCGUAAGGCAAAUGUGAAGGUGCUGCAUGGUUGUCGUCAGCUCGUGCCGUGAGGUGUCGGCUUAAGUGCCAUAACGAGCGCAACCCUUAUCUUUAGUUACUAACAGGUCAUGCUGAGGACUCUGGAGAGACUGCCGUCGUAAGAUGUGAGGAAGGUGGGGAUGACGUCAAAUCAGCACGGCCCUUACGUCCGGGGCUACACACGUGUUACAAUGGGGGGUACAGAAGGCAGCUACCUGGUGACAGGAUGCUAAUCCCAAAAGCCUCUCUCAGUUCGGAUCGAAGUCUGCAACCCGACUUCGUGAAGCUGGAUUCGCUAGUAAUCGCGCAUCAGCCAUGGCGCGGUGAAUACGUUCCCGGGCCUUGUACACACCGCCCGUCAAGCCAUGAAAGCCGGGGGUACCUGAAGUACGUAACCGCAAGGAGCGUCCUAGGGUAAAACU
rnacentral:rRNA from 1 species